rnacentral:sRNA from 1 species
UGUCGUUGAUCUGAUGGGUAAUUACCUUUGAAAGACAGGAAAAACAGGCACCGAGCACCGCAUCUUGGCCUGGUAGCGGCCUUCUUCGGUGUUGGGCCACCAGAUUUCGUCCUUUUUCAACCAAUGGUCUAUAUCUGUAAAGAGUAGGAACACGAGCCAUGUGAAAGAUUCCCGAAAUCAGUCCCUUUGAUGUAGAAGGCCCCACGGAUGAUCGGGAAUACUGUUUCAUAUGCGCUUUGAUCCGUUUGUUAGAUCUACAUUAAAAUUAAUUUUCCAGAUCAAGUAGGCCGAGAAUUGGGCUGUAAGUACGCGCCUUCUUGGCCAUGUUUGCUGUGGCCUGUGACUACCUUUGAAGCAGGUCCCACAGAAUAACUUCCAUAUGGUUUUUAUAGAACAUUUUCAGGAACAUUGCAGGACCAUGCAGGAGCGCACUAGCAUGCCAGAUAUGAAGAAACCUGUGGAGUAGAAAAUGAAUAAUGAAAAUGUUUAAUUCGCAAGCACGAGUUUUUUUGAGAGCCAUAGUCCGAAGUUAAGCGCAUUAAAGAUAAUUGAAAUUUAUAUUAUGUAAAUUGCCAGUAGCGGGAAAAGUAAAAGUGGCAAAUGGGUGCAAAAACUGUUUCCCAAGAAUACAAAAAAAAGGAAAGCAAAAAAUGUAAAACAAUAAACAAAUUAAGUGCGUGACCCUCACAGAAUAUCUCGUA